GUUAAUAACAGUCUCCAAGGCCGGGGAGGACAACAUGGGUCUGACUAGUAUGUGUAGAAUGAUUGGAACAAGUAUCGUUGUUAUUGUUUCAGUUGGUUAGCAUGUAUUUGACACUAGAGGAUACUGAUAUGGCAGAAGUGGACGUUCAAGUUUACAGAACUCCACGCAGAAUCUUUCCGUGAAGUAAAACCUGCAGUGUGGUAUAACAGUGGGUUACGCCGACCCGUUGUGUAAGCCAGCCUGCGUCACCGAGGUAAGGCGACGCCCCCACGUCGUCACAGCGGCUGGCAGCGUUCUGCGUGCUCGCGAAUACCGGCGCACAAAUAGCGGCCGCAGCUGGCGCGGCCUUGGACGGGCUGUGGGGCGUCUCCGCCAGCGCACAAUACCGGCUCCACACACGACAGUGGAAAGGUCAAGUUGGAGACAAAAUGUUAAGAAGCAGUUUUAUACAUUGACAACGGCCUCUCUGUCUGGAAGCUUCAACUGAAGACAACAGCCUCUCAGUCUGGAAGUUUCAACUGAAGACCAAGCCAGGUGUGAAAGCCUAUAUUUAUGUUAAAUGCCGAUGUUUGAGAGAUAAUGCACAGAUUUUUAAAAUAUGUCCUGAAGUUUCAUCCAUGACUUUAUAUAUCUAUUUGAGAACUGAUAAACCAAAUGUUGGCAGUCCUAGGAAAUUAGCUUUCUCAGUGCCUUCGUUUCCUUUCUAUCAAAGUACGCACUGUAUCAACGUUCAUAUGCAUGUAUCUCUUUAGUGUGAAUUUGUGCAUUAACAGUUUAAUUUGAAGGUAUUUGUGAGCAAUCAUCAUCUUAUCAUUCCCAUAAUCUUAUUCUCAGCAUAGCAUUUAUCAAGCUGUAUAUCAGCUCCCUUGACAUUUGAAUCUAGAAUGGUGUAAUAUAUCGUUUCAAUACAACUAAUGUUAGUAUG